UGGGGAAUAUUGCACAAUGGGCGCAAGCCUGAUGCAGCCAUGCCGCGUGUAUGAAGAAGGCCUUCGGGUUGUAAGGUACUUUCAGCGAGGAGGAAGGCAUUAUGGUUAAUAACCUUAGUGAUUGACGUUACUCGCAGAAGAAGCACCGGCUAACUCCGUGCCAGCAGCCGCGGUAAUACGGAGGGUGCAAGCGUUAAUCGGAAUUACUGGGCGUAAAGCGCACGCAGGCGGUCUGUUAAGUCAGAUGUGAAAUCCCCGGGCUCAACCUGGGAACUGCAUUUGAACCUGGCAGGCUUGAGUCUUGUAGAGGGGGGUAGAAUUCCGGGUGUAGCGGAGAUGUGCGUAGAGAUGUAGAAGAAUACCGGUGGCGGAGGCGGCCCCCUAGACAAAGACUGACGCUGAGGUGAGAAAGCGCGGGGAAAAAACA
rnacentral:rRNA from 1 species